CAGGGAGACAUUAAAUAGAUUGUGAUGUCUAAGUAUUUUAUUCUUAGGCCACAAUCCUGUCACCUUAAGGUCGAUCGGUACCUCAGAUUUUUGAAUUAAUUUUAUAAUUAAUGAUGAGAUUUCAGUUCCUAAACUUGUCUAGGUCACACCCAACAAGGGUUUCUCCUGGGCCAUUAGCUCAGGUGGUUAGAGCGCACCCCUGAUAAGGGUGAGGUCCCUGGUUCAAGUCCAGGAUGGCCCAUUCGUUGUUGGGGGUAUAGCUCAGUUGGUAGAGCGCCUGCUUUGCAAGCAGGAUGUCAGCGGUUCGAGUCCGCUUACCUCCACUGAAACCUGCCCUGUAACUAAAUUCCGGAGAACGUUUGUAAAAGUGACUUAGAUUUUGUCUAUUUGAAAAGAACCUAGCUUCUUAUCAUCUUAUUAAAGUUGAUAAUAUGCUGGGCUCGAAUGGAUUUAUUUCCAUUUGAAUUCAGUAGAACCUUGAAAACUGCAUAGAUUAGAAAGAAUAAAGCAUCUCAUGGAUGCAUAAUUCUGGCUUAAUAAUUUAGUCUUUAACCUAGAUUAUUUAAUGCCGAAUUCAUGUUUAAUUCUUGAGUAAUAGCCGAGCACAAUUAAAUUUGUGAUUGUAUUUAA
rnacentral:tRNA from 1 species